UUUUAAAUGACACUGCUCUUCCACCAAGAGUAUGAAUUAAUGAUCUACCUUUGGACUUCAACCUUUGGACUUCAACCUUUGGCUCUUCAGAGCACAGGCACCAUGUGGACUAAAUUGCUUACUUGUUUCCACCUACAGACUGCAUGCUACCAGAGAUUGGGCUUUCCUCUCAGAGCUUAGCCAAUCUUAGAAAUCCUACUUGGCCCUCCUGGAAGUGACUUUCAUCAAGAUGCUUUUAGAAAGAAGAAAAAAGUUCCAGCAAACUGCAGAGUCUACAUCACGGGGUUGAUCUUGUCCUCCCUGGAUCUUUCAAAGAAAGCUUUGAAAAAAUACCAGAGACUUAACAAAUACAGGAGAAAACCAUGUGACCAUCUCCACACAAUCUAGAAAGGCAUUUGAGGAAAACUUAUUACAUCAUUUCUCAUUUUUAAAAAAUAGGGCAGGAGGCCUUAGUUUAUUAAACUGUAUUUACUAGAAUUCUAGAACAAACCUUCAUAGGUAGGGGUGUGAAUUACUAAAAUUUCUUUCCAUUGCUGUCUGGGACAAGCAAGAGUCUCUAAUCUCACCCCUUUUACUCCAUAAUGUGUUGCAGAGCCUAGAUAAUAUAGAUUCUUCUUUUACCUGA